rnacentral:lncRNA from 1 species
GGAAGAAUCAAAGAAAGCUUCAGUUCUUUAUCCUUCUGAACUUCAUCUUUCAAGGCAGACUAGCACUUUGGGAUGACUGUGGCCCUCGCAAGGCCCCAACUUAUGUAAGAUCACUUACAAGUCACACAUAAUAGUGUCAUUUUUCAUGACCACCCAGUUUCAGACUUCAAGCUGAUGUAUCCACUAAGCUUGUUCCUUCCAUUAUCACCUUGCCAAGAAUAUCUAGUCAGUAUUGGUCUCUCCCUUUCCUAACUACCCCUUUUUAUUUACUGUAUGUACUAGAUGGUCUAACAUUUGAUUGCAUUUAAUCAAUUACCUUUUUUUUUUUUUUUUUGAGACGGAGUCUCGCUCUGUUGCCCAGGCUGGAGUGCAGUGGCGUGAUCUCUGCUCACCGCAAGCUCUGCCUUCCGGAUUCAUGCCAUUCUCCUGCCUCAGCCUCCCGAGUAGCUGGGACUACAGGUGCCCGCCACCACACCUGGCUAAUUUUUGUAUUUUUAGUAGAGACGGGGUUUCACCGUGUUAGCCAGGGUGGUCUCAAUCUCCUGACUUCAUGAUCCACCCGCCUCGGCCUCCCAAAGUGCUGGUAUUACACGCAUGAGCCACCGUGCCCGGCCAACUUUCUUGAAUUACACUCUGUUUUAUGAGUGUGCAUAUUUUACCUCCUCAGAGAAGAGCUCUUUGAGAUCAAAGAGCCAUGUCUUAGAUUCUGUAAUUGUCGAUUUUAUUCCUGUAAGUACUACUCACAAGGCUGGGCACAUACAGGUGCUUAAUGUAAAUGCAGGGAAUGAAUGCUGCUGCCUGAGAUUUGAUCUCUCCGCUCCUAUCCCAUUUAGCCAUCUGGAAAGGAGUCAGAGGCCACACACACUUGAGAAUCUUAUUUCUAACAUGAAGGCUAACCAUAGAUCUUCCCAAGUCAAUUCAGAUUCCUGUUUAUUGCAAUUUGCUAGUAUAUUGGUCACUCCAAAAUAUGUGAGUUAAUAUUUUUGUUUUUGUGGGAAUCAAAAGAGAAAAAGCCUGUGGAAUCUACUAGAAAUAAAAAGUUCUACCCUAUGUUACUUAGGUCCCAAGUAUUAAUAUUUAUUUCCUCAUGAAAUGUGAGGUCUGGAGAGCCUCACUAAUUCCUUUGUAAAAGUUUUGAUUCACAGCCUAGUCCAAAUAAAAAUAAAGUUACUGCUACCCAAACAGGCUGCUGGACUGUGACAUUUACCAUAUGAAAAAACCCGUCUCUUCCCAGGCUUCAUGGAAAGCUUACUUCCUAAAUAGGUAUAAUGGUGGUCAGUAACAUCAUGACAGGCUAGUGGGGAGAGACCUGGAAUCUCAAUUAGAGAAAUGGAGUGAAACUCAAACAGUGGGAUUUAAGGCCUAAAUAAGGACUUUUAAAAUUUACGAUAUACUCUAUGCUGUAUUCUAACAAUAUUUUGGAGGGACUGAUCAGGCUUCUUAGGUGUUCAUUGAGGCUGUGUUUUUUUUUAAAAUCAUCUGAAUGUAUUUCAUAGUUUCAGAUGCCCAUACACAUCUGUGUGAACCUAAAACUCCAAGCUAUGGGGAAAGUAAAUAUAGAUAUUAAAUGUGAGAAAUGUGACCCAUGUGCUAGAGCCACACAAGUUUUAGAGCUCCUCAUUCCCCUGUUGGUCAUUUUCAUCCUAUAUAGUACACAGCAUGUGAAAGGCUCGAUGGAAAAUAUGCCGGAGGCUGCAAAUGCAUUUAUGAAUCACAAGAGUUUAUGAAUUAUACAUAUAAAAUGGCUUGCCUUAGGUAUUUUAUGGAGGCCUUAGUAUAUCCAUAUAUUUCCUUCUACAAUGAGUGCAUUUUGUGAGUUUCCAAAAGAUCAGAAAUUCUUCAGAAGCUGGGAAUAUUCACAAAAGGGAGGUGCAGGUCUGCAUAGAUGCUAAGAGCUUUAAAAUUCUAAUAAUAUUAGGUAGCACAAUAGAGACAACAAAAGAUGAGUCUAUCAUUUAAUGAACUUAAUGGUUUUUCUUUUAAAAUAUAGUGAUAUGUGCUGCAAUAUGUGAGAUGAUGUUACAUGAUAUCAUUUUUACAUGCCUUAAAUUGAUAGGGUAGUCACAAUCUGGCAUAUGAGAUUUUUCAGAAAUAUUUAUAAUAUGAACUGAAUGUAAAUACUGUAUUUGACUAUGUUUAACUUUUUGUUCUAUAUGUAUUAAGUAGUCAGUAAAGACAAAUCAAGACAUAUAAUAUGAUGAAGACAUAUGUGAUUUAAUACUUGCUUUUAAAAGUUAAUUUUUCCUUGGAAGUAUACUCUCUUACACAUAUGUAUACCAGGUCACAUGGACGCCUGUUUUUUUCCCUGCAUAAGACAGCACUUUUGGUAUUGCCCUGAUUCUGAAUGUAUGUAAUCACCUAGUGCAGCUGAGAGGCCAUGUGCUAUGGAUGUUUCUUUUAGGAUGUUACAGAUAAAUUAAACCAUUUUUUUUUUAAGGGAGAUCCUUGUGAUAGUUGGAAUUUCUAAAAUGCCUCCCCAAAAGUCCUCACCUGAUCUGUAGAACCCACGUAUAUGACAAGAUAGCUCUCGCAUGAUUGUUCUGUUACAUAGCACAGUUGACCUUAAGUUAGGGAGGUUUUCCUGGGUGGGCCUGAGCUAAUCACAUGAGCCUGUGAAGGCAGAGAGCCUUCUCAGCAGAUGAUGGAACGGGAAGCCAGAGAAAUGUGAAGUGCGAAAAGAACUCAGUGCUUCAAUGCUGGUUUGAAAAUCAGAAGGGCCAUGUGAAAAGGAAUGUAGGAGCUUCUGCAAGCAGUAAGCAGCCACUACCCUGCAAGGCAGUGGGUACCUGAAACCUCACAGGACUGGAUUCCUGCCAACAGCCUGGAUGAGCUUGAAGCAGAUUCUUCCCCAGAUGCUCCUGAUAAAAGCCAGCAGCAGACUCCUUGAUUUCAGACCGUUGAGAACUUGAGGAGGGAACCCAGCAGAACUGUGCAGACUUCUGACCUACAAAACUGUGAGAUAAUAAAUGGUUUUAAGCCACUAAAUUUUGUUUUGGCAGCAAUAGAAAACUAAUGAAAUUGAAAAUUUGAUGAUAAUUUUUUUGAUAUAAAAAACAGCAUAGGCCUCAUUAUCAUUGCCCUCUACUGUCACAUCUUUGCAUAAAUCUUGGAAGUUGUUGUUCCACCCUCACAUUUAUUUCCAGAUUAUGCAGGAUCCCCAGAUAAAUUACUAGAACAAUGCAGGCUUCACUUCAAAGUUAGAGACUGGUAGAUUCUCUUUAUUUCAAGUUUCCUAAGAAUCUUCUCUGUUUGAAUUAUGAAGAAAUCUUUUCCCUUAAGAUAGAAGGAUGGAAAACUUUUGUCUCUCUUAGACUUAUAUAUGAAACCAGAAUGAUUCUUAAACUCAAAAGUUACAAAAUUAUACUAUUUUGCAAUUAACUCAGACCAUGAUUAGGUUUGCAGUACCUCUGAAAAUUUGAAGGGUCCUUGCUGCAGCCACACUCACAUCAUUGGCUUGUUCAUCAUCAGUCAAUAUUCUGAGAAAACUGAAGGGAAAGAAGAUGGUUCUCUGUAGACCAUCCCAGAAUAGCUCAAAUUGUUUCCCCUGGCUCAGCUAGUACACAAGAACAUAAUAUAAAAUGUUCCUUCUGCUUAGUCCCUCUUCAGGAGAAAAUGUAAAUAGAAGUUUUUUCCCAUCACUGUGGGGUCAAGCCAUGACUUCAAAAGGAACUUGAGUUAAACCAGUUUCAGCCUUGGCAGCAGACAUGUGACUUGGUCUCAUUCCUUUCCCUUGGGCCCAGCUUUCCUGAGCCACAAUUUUAUUUUAAACUUGGUAGGAGUUUGGUUUUAAUUAUGUGCCUUCCUGAACUCCUGAUAACUUUCAAGUUAAAAGUUUUUGUGGGGAUUUUUCUAAGCCAGUCUCUGGUGUUUUGAGGGCCCUACACAUUUCACAAAUCAAAACCAGUCUGGUUUCUGUCCCUUUCUAGGAUUGCCAUCUGAAUUAAUGGUGAUCUUCAUUCUGUUCUUUUAUUAGAAACAGGCCCAAGCAAUGAGAUUAUUACGGGAGAAUUUCAAGAGGUAUGAAAGAAAGAAGUCUGCUUCUUAGUUUUGGGACAUUUUUAAAACUAUGGUCUAUCCAGCUAAUCAUUCUUUUUACCUCUACUCUACAAUGUAUUCAUAUUGGUUUCUGAGCAGCUUUUAGUCUCUUCUUCUCUAGAGUCUCAUUUACAUUAUCUGUUGUCCCCAGUUGGGCCAUAAAAGCUGUGAAAGUAAUUCCUUCUUUGAACAGUUUCUAUCUAGUUCAGACACACUAGAGAGUCUCAUUUUAGUGGCCAUCAUUUGUCUUCAACAGAAGGUAGAGCAAAACAAUCUUUAACAAAAACACUUAGAGAAGUUCUAAGACUUCCAGAUUAGAGCAUACAGCAUAAUAAAUUUGUGAAUUAACCUACCAAUUGGAGAAAAGAUUCAUGCCUUUUCUAAAAUAUAUGAUAUCAUCAUGUGCAGAUAAGCUAUUCAGACUCUACUUACAGAGUAGACUAACUUCUGUUUUUGAGAAGAGAGAGGGAGUGUACAGAGGAGGAGGAUGGAAGGAUGGGACCAUUGCCAGAGCAUAGAUAAGAUGAGUCCGCAUUCCUAGCCUCUAAAGGAUCAUCGAUUUGGCUGGAGUCCCUAAGCCUUGUGUUCUAGGACUUCCCCUUAUUUUCUGCCCACUCAGCUGACCUCUUAGAAUCCUCUUCUCUGGGAGAAGCUUCAGUGUUCAUUUCCCUACCUUAUGUUCUGCUUGCCUCUUCUGAUGUCACUUCCUGGCUCACUGUUCCCCUGAGAUUACUUAGGCAAACUCCCACUCUGUCUUAUCUCCUCUAGAUUUACUUAGUAGUCUCCCUGCAGGGUUGGCAGUCAGCUUUCUUGAAUGAAGUCGUGUUAGUCUAACAGUUGAUUUGAUCUGUGCUUAGUUUGAAUGACAGGAGGAUGAAGAGGAAAAAUUAAAGUUAAGUCUUCUGAGUCAAUCCAGCCACUCUGCUUCUUUACCCAAGAAACCCCAUCUUCUCUCUCCCUAAAUCCAACUAGUGUUUUUUCAUCAAACCCCGGAUUAUCUAGGGUAUCAAGAAGCCAAGCAAAACACUAGUUUCUAGAGGUAUUCCACCAAUGAAAAUUAGUUAGGAAGUAUGAUCUAAAAACCAAAGCCAUUUUAUCAGAAUUGGGGGAAUUAAACAUUAAACCCUAUAUACUUUUAAGCUAUCUUGUCUUACUCUUUUUAGGCUAAAAACCUGAAAGGAAACCAUUUCUAUUACAGCGAGAAUAAUUCACCCUUAGAAGUCCAGUUUUCUUCCUUUUUUGAAAUAAUAUUGUUUGUAUUAAGGUAACUGUGUUACUCCUACUGCAUCCAAAGCUCACUAAUCUCUGAGGUUUUAGGAGAUUUAUCUACUCUCCUCUAAUUGGUAGGGUUGACUUUCCCAGGACAUUGCUAAGGUUAGCCCCUGAAGGCAAUAAUAUUUAAAAAAAUAAAAAAUAAAGGAUUCCACAUAGCUCCAAAAGUCAGGUAAAAGCUGGAGGGAAUUAGAGAUAGCAAGGAAAGAUCAAGGAUUAACUUGCAAGCUCUAUUUUCUCUAAUAUCUGGAUCUAGGAAAAUUGUCUACCGCCUUGUCUGCUGGAUCACUCAUCACCUACGCAUUUUAUAAAAGGCUACCCAAAAAGAAAUUGUUAACAA